CUGAGGCCCAGCGAGUUACAAGAACAUAUGGAACAAGAACUGGAGCAGCUGGCCCAGCUGCCCACCAGCAAGAAUUCCCUUCUGAAGGAUGCCAUGGCUCCAGGCACCCCCAAGUCCCUCCUGUUGUCUGCUUCCAUCAAGAGGGAAGGAGAAUCUCCAACAGCAUCACCACAUUCAUCUGCCACUGAUGAUCUGCACCACUCAGACAGA